GGCUCAGGAUGAACGCUAGCGGCAGGCUUAACACAUGCAAGUCGAGGGCAGCAUGAGGGUUAGCAAUAACCCUUGAUGGCGACCGGCGCAAGGGUGCGUAACGCGUGAGCAACUUGCCCGUUUCAGGGGGAUAACCGGUGGAAACGCCGACUAAUACCCCAUAGCAUUGAUUUAAGGCAUCUUUUAUCAAUUAAAGAAUUUCGGAAACGGAUAGGCUCGCGUGACAUUAGCUUGAUGGUGAGGUAACGGCCCACCAAGGCGACGAUCAGUAGCCGGACUGAGAGGUUGAACGGCCACAUUGGGACUGAGAUACGGCCCAGACUCCUACGGGAGGCAGCAGUGAGGAAUAUUGGUCAAUGGUCGGAAGACUGAACCAGCCAAGUAGCGUGAAGGAUGACUGCCCUACGGGUUGUAAACUUCUUUUGUUUGGGAAUAAAAGACGCUACGUGUAGCGUUCUGCAUGUACCUUACGAAUAAGCAUCGGCUAAUUCCGUG
rnacentral:rRNA from 1 species